UACGUAGGUGGCAAGCGUUGUCCGGAUUUACUGGGUGUAAAGGGAGCGCAGGCGGGACGGCAAGUUGGAUGUGAAAAACUGAGGCUCAACCUCAGUCCUGCAUCCAAAACUGUUGUUCUUGAGUGGAGCAGAGGUAAGCGGAAUUCCGAGUGUAGCGGUGAAAUGCGUAGAUAUUCGGAGGAACACCAGUGGCGAAGGCGGCUUACUGGACUCUAACUGACGCUGAGGCUCGAAAGCGUGGGGAGCAAACAGGAUUAGAUACCCCUGUA
rnacentral:rRNA from 1 species